rnacentral:rRNA from 1 species
UACGUAGGGUACGAGCGUUGUCCGGAAUUAUUGGGCGUAAAGAGCUUGUAGGCGGUUUGUCGCGUCUGCCGUGAAAAUCCGGGGCUCAACCCGGACUUGCGGUGGGUACGGGCAGACUAGAGUGUGGUAGGGGAGACUGGAAUUCCUGGUGUAGCGGUGAAAUGCGCAGAUAUCAGGAGGAACACCGAUGGCGAAGGCAGGUCUCUGGGCCACUACUGACGCUGAGAAGCGAAAGCGUGGGGAGCGAACAGG